UACGUAGGGUGCAAGCGUUAAUCGGAAUUACUGGGCGUAAAGUGUGCGCAGGUGGCCGCGCAUGUCGAGUGUGAAAUCCCCGAGCUUAACUUGGGAAUUGCGCUUGAAACUACGUGGCUAGAGUGUGGCAGAGGGAGGUGGAAUUCCACGUGUAGCGGUGAAAUGCGUAGAGAUGUGGAGGAACACCAAUGGCGAAGGCAGCCUCCUGGGCCAACACUGACACUCAUGCACGAAAGCGUGGGGAGCAAACAGG
rnacentral:rRNA from 1 species